GCCUUCGUAGUAUAGUGGUCAGCACGCUCGACGCGUAUUCGAGAGGGCCGUGGUUCGAGUCUCGGAGAGGGCA
rnacentral:tRNA from 1 species